rnacentral:lncRNA from 1 species
GUGCAGUGGCGCGAUCUCGGUUCACUGCAAGCUCCGCCUCCCGGGUUCACACCAUUCUCCUGCCUCAGCCUCCUGAGUAGCUUGGACUACAGGCGCCCGCCACCACACCCUGCUAAUUUUUUGUAUUUUUAGUAGAGAUGGGGUUUCACUGUGUUAGCCGGGAUGGUCUCGAUCUCUUGACCUCGAGGAUUCAGCUUCUUCCUAGUUCAGUCUUUGGAAGGUGUGUGUGUCCAGGAAUUUAUCCAUAUCUUCUAGAUUUUCUAGCUUAUUAGUACUUUCCCUUUUGUUACUACUAUGCUACUACUGCUGUGCUUCCUUGCUGACGGUUCCAGUUCCUAUCGCUGUGUAACAAACUACCUCAAACUUAAUGAUACAGAAAACAACCAUUUUAAUAUGCCCACAGUUUCUGUAGGUUGGGAAUUUAGAGAGGGUACAGUAAGGACUGCUUGACUCUGCAUUAAAGCUUGUCUGAGGCCUCAGUUGGGAAGACUAAAAAAUUUGGAGGUGACUU